GACGAACGCUGGCGGCGCGCUUAACACAUGCAAGUCGAGCGAGAACCAGGGCUUCGGCCCUGGGGAAAGCGGCGAACGGGUGAGUAACACGUGAGUAAUCCACCCUCGGUACCGGGAUAGCCCGGGGAAACCCGGAUUAAUACCGGAUGGCCCAGCAGCUCUUCGGGGCGGCUGGAAAAGGUAGCUUCGGCCUCCGACCGAGGACGAGCUCGCGGCGGAUUAGCUUGUUGGUGGGGUAACGGCCUACCAAGGCGACGAUCCGUAGCUGGUCUGAGAGGACGAUCAGCCACACUGGGACUGAGACACGGCCCAGACUCCUACGGGAGGCAGCAGUGGGGAAUCUUGCGCAAUGGGCGAAACCCUGACGCAGCAACGCCGCGUGGAUGAUGAAGCUCUUUGGAGUGUAAAAUCCUGUCGCCGGGGAAGAAACGGUGGGUGAGGAAAUGCAUUCGCCCUGACGGUACCCGGAGAGGAAGUUCCGGCUAACUCCGUGCCAGCAGCCGCAGUAACAC
rnacentral:rRNA from 1 species